rnacentral:rRNA from 1 species
UACCAGCACCCCGAGUGGUCGGGACGAUUAUUGGGCCUAAAGCAUCCGUAGCCGGUUCUACAAGUCUUCCGUUAAAUCCACCUGCUCAACAGUUGGGCUGCGGAGGAUACUAUAGAGCUAGGAGGCGGGAGAGGCAAGCGGUACUUAGUGGGUAGGGGUAAAAUCCGUUGAUCCAUUGAAGACCACCAGUGGCGAAGGCGGCUUGCCAGAACGCACUCGACGGUGAGGGAUGAAAGCUGGGGAG